GCGGCCUAUCAGCUUGUUGGUGAGGUAACGGCUCACCAAGGCGACGACGGGUAGCCGACCUGAGAGGGUGUACGGCCACACUGGGACUGAGACACGGCCCAGACUCCCACGGGAGGCAGCAGUGGGGAAUUUUGCGCAAUGGACGAAAGUCUGACGCAGCGACGCCGCGUGAGGGAUGAAGGCCUUCGGGUUGUAAACCUCUUUCGGCAGGGAAGAAGCGAAAGUGACGGUACCUGCAGAAGAAGCACCGGCUAACUACGUGCCAGCAGCCGCGGUAAUACGUAGGGUGCAAGCGUUGUCCGGAUUUAUUGGGCGUAAAGAGCUCGUAGGCGGUUCGUCACGUCGGGUGUGAAAACUCAGGACUCAACCCUGAGCCUGCACUCGAUACGGGCGAACUGGAGGACGGUAGGGGAGACUGGAAUUCCUAAUCACUAGUGAA
rnacentral:rRNA from 1 species